rfam:Nelumbo nucifera unplaced genomic scaffold scaffold00030, whole genome shotgun sequence
AAAAUGGAUCUUCUAAGAUCUACAAAGUAUUUAAUUUUCUUGAACU